rnacentral:lncRNA from 1 species
CUAGUCUUGGGAGGUGGUCCUUGCUGUGAGGAUCUUCACCAGAUCUUCACCAGGUCACAGAAGGAGACGCAUCCUGUCAACAAAGGGGAGCAGGCCAGGAUCUGCCAGGAAUCAACGUGAGGAACUUGGGAGCUCCAGGAAACAGGCAGUGAAGGUCUUGUCGGGAAGCAGUGUCCUCAGGUCACACAGCAGAGGAGGCCCUGGCAGUAUCAAGAGUCAAGGCAUCUGAGUCUUCAACAACAAGGUCUUGCUGUCCCCACGGAACAUCAUGAUGCCCCAUAGUCAGGGGAGCCAAGACAGCAAGCUAGGGGGAGGCCAUUCUGGCCAAAGUAGUGCAUGGAUCCUCAUGGGUGUGAGAG